UCCUAGUGUAGCGGUGAAAUGCGUAGAUAUUAGGAAGANCACCAGUGGCGAAGGCGACUUUCUGGACGAAAACUGACGCUGAGGCGCGAAAGCCAGGGGAGCGAACGGGAUUAGAUACCCCGGUAGUCCUGNCCGUAAACGAUGGGUACUAGGUGUAGGAGGUAUCGACCCCUUCUGUGCCGGAGUUAACGCAAUAAGUACCCCGCUUGGGGAGUACGACCGCAAGGUUGAAACUCAAAGGAAUUGACGGGGGCCCGCACAAGCGGUGGAGUAUGUGGUUUAAUUCGACGCAACGCGAAGAACCUUACCAGGUCUUGACAUUGAUGGACAGAACCAGAGAUGGUUCCUCUUCUUCGGAAGCCAGAAAACAGGUGGUGCACGGUUGUCGUCAGCUCGUGUCGUGAGAUGUUGGGUUAAGUCCCGCAACGAGCGCAACCCCUAUCUUAUGUUGCCAGCACUUCGGGUGGGAACUCAUGAGAGACUGCCGCAGACAAUGCGGAGGAAGGCGGGGAUGACGUCAAAUCAUCAUGCCCCUUAUGACCUGGGCUACACACGUACUACAAUGGGAGUUAAUAGACGGAAGCGAGAUCGCGAGAUGGAGCAAACCCGAGAAACACUCUCUCAGUUCGGAUCGUAGGCUGCAACUCGCCUACGUGAAGUCGGAAUC
rnacentral:rRNA from 1 species